rnacentral:pre_miRNA from 1 species
CUCUAGGAUGUGCUCAUUGCAUGAGCUGCGUACAUUAUUAUUCAAUACCCAGAACAUGCGGUGUGAACAUAAUAGAG